rnacentral:rRNA from 1 species
AUUGAACGCUGGCGGCAGGCCUAACACAUGCAAGUCGAGCGAGCGGCGGACGGGUGAGUAAUGUCUGGGAAACUGCCUGAUGGAGGGGGAUAACUACUGGAAACGGUAGCUAAUACCGCAUACCAUCUGAUUUGCCCAGAUGGGAUUAGCUAGUUGGUGGGGUAACUGCUCACCUAGGCGACGAUCCCUAGCUGGUCUGAGAGGAUGACCAGCCACACUGGAAUUGAGACACGGUCCAGACUCCUACGGGAGGCAGCAGUGGGAAAUAUUGCACAAUGGGCGCAAGCCUGAUGCAGCCAUGCCGGGUGUGUGAAGAAGGCUUUCGGGUUGUAAAGCACUUUCAGCGGGGAGGCGUUAACCGCAGAAGAAGCACCGGCUAACUCCGUGCCAGCAGCCGCGGUAAUUC